ensembl:lncRNA
GUUAUAUUAAGCCUAAUUUCACAUGCCACUUUUUUUAUAGACUGCCGCUGGCAAUGAAAGGUGAUUUGUGGACUUACGGUGAACAAAGUUGUUGCUCUUGGAGUUUAAGGGGUACAAAUCACCUUUAAAGGCGUGCUGCAGACAACCCUCUCAAUGACGAUGUUUGAUGUUGUAAGGAUGAAGAGGUGCAGGAGUGGAGGCAGGUUCAUGUGGGAAGUAGACUUUAAAAAGGGUGAACAUUGCUUUGCUCUGAUGAGCACAGCUGCGGCACAUCGAGCGCAGUCUGCUUGAAGGAGAGCGAAAGGAAGGACGAGAGGAAAGGGGGUGAUUUUUCUGCAAAUGUGAGGACAAAUCUCUUAACACAGCCCCAGGGCUUUGUGGGGUUAUUCAAAGGUUAUGAAUAAACAGUCUCUUCUCCAUUCAACUUGUUAAUUGUGACUAAAAGUCAUGUCUAUUCAGUAGUUUGCCAUUGGACCAGCUGUCCACAAAGCAGAUUAUAUUGCUGGGAUUUUUGCUUGUACGUGAGAAGCAUGUUCAGGAUGAUAAAUGAGGAGUGAAUUGUGUCAAUGUGAAUGUGCAAGCUUAAGAGUUUCAGUGAAUAAAGCUAAACAAUCAUAUUCAGUGCUCAGUAGAUUAGAGUCCAUCAACUUAAUCACGCCGCCAUCUCGUCUCCCUCUACUGGCUGCCUGUUUUCACAUAGACGGCUCCCAAGGGCUUCACCCACACCUGUCAUUUGAAGACCAAAGGUCAAAAGUCUGUCUCUUGGCCUAGAGAUGGACAGCUGUGUGGUGCUUAUAGAUCUCUGGUCACUUCCUCCCCAUAUGGAUCAGCCCGGACACAGCUGCUCUGAAGCACCAUGUGUCUGGUGUUGGAUGACUCUGUGUGUAUGGGACGCAGCAGCUGAGCCGGGGCACACACCACUCUGUGGUCUCAAACAGUUGGUUCAUGUAUGUACACACUAAAGCUUAUGUUUGCCCACAUACAGAGAGUCAUGCAAGUUGAGAAAUCU